UACAGAGGUCUCAACCGUUGUUCGGAUUUAUUGGGCGUAAAGGGUGCGUAGGCGGUCGCGUAAGUCGGAUGUGAAAUCCCGGGGCUCAACCCCGGAACUGCAUUCGAUACUGCGUGGCUAGGGUACUGGAGAGGAGACUGGAAUUUACGGUGUAGCAGUGAAAUGCGUAGAUAUCGUAAGGAAGACCAGGGGCGAAGGCGAGUCUCUGGACAGUUCCUGACACUGAGGCACGAAGGCCAGGGGAGCAAACGGG
rnacentral:rRNA from 1 species